rnacentral:rRNA from 1 species
AUGAACGCUGGCGGCGUGCCCAAUACAUGCAAGUCGAGCGAACAGACGAGGAGCUUGCUCCUCUGACGUUAGCGGCGGACGGGUGAGUAACACGUGGAUAACCUACCUAUAAGACUGGGAUAACUUCGGGAAACCGGAGCUAAUACCGGAUAAUAUAUUGAACCGCAUGGUUCAAUAGUGAAGGACGGUUUUGCUGUCACUUAUAGAUGGAUCCGCGCCGCAUUAGCUAGUUGGUAAGGUAACGGCUUACCAAGGCAACGAUGCGUAGCCGACCUGAGAGGGUGAUCGGCCACACUGGAACUGAGACACGGUCCAGACUCCUACGGGAGGCAGCAGUAGGGAAUCUUCCGCAAUGGGCGAAAGCCUGACGGAGCAACGCCGCGUGAGUGAUGAAGGUCUUCGGAUCGUAAAACUCUGUUAUUAGGGAAGAACAAAUGUGUAAGUAACUAUGCACGUCUUGACGGUACCUAAUCAGAAAGCCACGGCUAACUACGUG